GACGAACGCUGGCGGCGUGCUUAACACAUGCAAGUCGAACGGAAAGACCCUGCUUUUGUGGGGUGCUCGAGUGGCGAACGGGUGAGUAACACGUGAGUAACCUGCCCUUGACUUUGGGAUAACUUCAGGAAACUGGGGCUAAUACCGGAUAGGAGCUCCUGCUGCAUGGUGGGGGUUGGAAAGUUUCGGCGGUUGGGGAUGGACUCGCGGCUUAUCAGCUUGUUGGUGGGGUAGUGGCUUACCAAGGCUUUGACGGGUAGCCGGCCUGAGAGGGUGACCGGCCACAUUGGGACCGAGAUACGGCCCAGACUCCUACGGGAGGCAGCAGUAGGGAAUAUUGCACAAUGGGCGGAAGCCUGAUGCAGCAACGCCGCGUGCGGGAUGACGGCCUUCGGGUUGUAAACCGCUUUCGCCUGUGACGAAGCGUGAGUGACGGUAAUGGGUAAAGAAGCACCGGCUAACUACGUG
rnacentral:rRNA from 1 species